CGCCGCCACCGCCUACCAUGGUCGUGCUCCGCCAACACCUACCCCACCGGCGCGCCUACCCCCAACCAAAUGCCCCCACACCCGCGGCCUUCCACCACCAGCGACCCACUGCGGCCUUCCACCGUCGGCUACUUUCGGCGUCAAGGGUUGAGGAGGCGGAUUCGGGGGCGGGCGACGCGGCGGGGGUCGCCGGUGACGAUGAGGAAGGCAGGCGUAAUUUUCCCCCUGACCCCUGCGAACCCUAGCAGCCGCACCAAUGCCACCCCGCCGCCAGGCGCCAGCCAUCGGGUCGCUUCCCUGCGCCUCCUCGCCUCCCUCUGCUCCAGGCCUCCCUCUCUCGCGCUGCUAGGAGCUGCUCCUGGUGUCUAGCAGCUGCCUUCCCCUCACUCAUCACAUCAAUCUCCUGCUCCCUCUCUCUCCAACAUCCCCCGCUGUCCUCUCGCAUCACACACAGGCGGUGGCUGUACAUAUCUGGUCGGGUGUGGCGUGUGUGGCAUCUGUGAUGUGCUUCGGCCGACCGGUUGUCCAUGCAUAGGAAGUGAAUGGUUGCAGGCAGAGGAAGCUAUUGGCCGUUGUCAGAGGAGGAUUAGGAUAGUUCCCUUCAUCUUUGUCAGAAAAUGAUAGUUCCCUUGAUUUGUUUUGUUCCGAAUUAGUACAAAAGUGCAAUGAUAUUUGUUUUGUGCCGCAGGAGCUUCAAGACGGCAGGGACCAAUUGCAACCUUCAUUUAUCUGUUCUGUGAACCAAUUUGUGAUGGCUUCUAAAUGCACUUGGCUGGAACAGAGCAAUUUUUUGGUAGUCUUCAGCCGGGAGAAGAUGGGUGCAGAGAAGAGUGAAACGGGCUCAGUCAGUUUCAGGAUAUGCCUUACAAGCCAUCCAUGUGAGAUAUCCAAGGGGUUCAAGACGGAUUGAAAAGGAGCUGGAGUAGGUGGUCGAUUGAGGAAGGAGCUGGAGCAGAGGUGGAAUCGAGGCUGCCCCUACGUGCGCUAAGAAGCUGCCAGAAAUUAUGAGGCGCCUGCCAUCCGGACACUGCUGCGCUUUCUCCAUCUCUCAAGAUAAUUUUCCUCAGUUCAUCGAACUACGUGCUGAAACAUGUGUAUUGUUUCUCAAUAUAUCGGGCAUCAACCCACCUCCCAUGAGAUCUCUGAAUUUUCGACGCAUAUUACAUUUGCUGAAUUAUUUCCUCCAGAUAACUAUGCUUGGAUUCACAAAUGCGCGCAAUGCUUUCAAGUAGAGGUUAGUUCUACUUAAGCUGUGCUAUUCCACUUUCAAGUUUUUGGUCCUAGAAGUGUAAUACUUGGUAGGUUAGCUGUAGAAGCAGAAUGUAUAUGGCCUGAAUUUAUAUUUCAGAGUGUAUAAUCUGAUUCAGAGUAUUUUGACCCCUUGUGUUCUGAAACGUUGUGUUGUAUCAUUCUGUCCUGAAAGAAUAGAAGCAAUUCUUCUCUGGGAGAGAAUAUAAACGUUAUUCGCAAACAACAUGCAUCGUCAUUAAGUUUCUUAUUACCAAUUUAAACAUGGUCAGUAAUAGCACAACUAAAGUUUGUGAACAACAUAUCAUUAUGAAAUGGUUGGUUGGAUUGAGUUUUGUAUGGAUUCUACAAGGGCCAUUUCUAUGGAAUUACAAAUUAGUUUUACAUUUUUAUGGCUGGGCUCAUUGUCUUUCGAUUGCCCACAUUCGGAUGGGUUUGUUAUCAAGUGGACACCACAACCACCAUCAAUAGGGCGGGAAUGGAGGUGUGUGAUAUUUUUUUCC